UGAAGUGAUAGGAUAUCAAAUAAUAGAAAAAAAAUGGAAAUAUAUAUUUCAUAUAGAGAUAAUUGUGGAGGAUUGCGGUUUAUUAUAAUUUCUAAGGAUUGAUCGAAUAACAUAUUUUAAGAUGGUGUGCGUUAGAAAUUUUUGUGAGCAUCAAGAUUUUUAAUUAAUUUUUGCUUAGUAAAUAAGUAAAUUUCGAGGACGAAAUUUUUUUUAAGAAGGGAAGAAAUGUAACAUCCGGAAAUUUAAAAAAAAUAAAAUAAUAUUAUAUAAUUAUAACAUAAUGGGUAAGGUUGUAAUUUUACCCUUUUCUCAAAUAAAACCCUAAACUUAAUACAAGUCUAUUUAAAAGAGGUUAAUCAAUUCUAAUAGGGUUCAAACAAAAAUAAAAUUUAGCCGUCAUUGAGAGAAAUGAAAAUUUGUAGUCCAUGAUUUUUGGUGAAUUCUAUCUCUACAGCUUCUAAGGAGACACAUAUAAUAUAGACCGCCGAGUAGAAUCCUCAUUUAAUUAGAUUAUUACGCGAUCGAGGAUAUAGAUAGCAGUGACUCAUCCAUCUAGAUUCGUGCAAUCAAUCACUUGGCUUGGUUAGAUGGGGUCAACAGUGUCAUCGGAGUUUCGAUUUUUAUUUUAAAUUCAAGUUUAAAUCUAUACGAUAAAUUAAAUUUUAUUUUUGAAAUUAGCAUUUGGUUUCUGAUUUAAAACUGACAUUUGUAAAUUUAAUGAAUAUGUAUUAUUUUGAGAUCGUUAAUAAAUGUUUGAACUGGAAAUUUUAUGAGAUUAAAUUUGA